UACGGGGGGGGCAAGCGUUGUUCGGAAUUACGGGGCGUAAAGGGCUCGUAGGCGGCCAACUAAGUCAGACGUGAAAUCCCUCGGCUUAACCGGGGAACUGCGUCUGAUACUGGAUGGCUUGAGGUUGGGAGAGGGAUGCGGAAUUCCAGGUGUAGCGGUGAAAUGCGUAGAUAUCUGGAGGAACACCGGUGGCGAAGGCGGCAUCCUGGACCAAUUCUGACGCUGAGUGAGCGAAAGCCAGGGGAGCAAACAGG
rnacentral:rRNA from 1 species